rnacentral:tRNA from 1 species
GCAGUGAUGGUUCAGUGGUAAAAUUUCUGCCUUCCAUGCAGAAGACCUGGGUUCAAUUCUGGCCAAUGCA